UGCUGUUCCGAUCUUUUCCAGUUAGUGUUGGGAAAUGGAAACCAAAUCCACUGUUGAUUAUCAGAGGACUUGUGGUGAACGAUUAUCGAUUAUAAUAAAAAUAUAUACAUUUU